rnacentral:rRNA from 1 species
CCUACGGGUGGCAGCAGUGAGGAAUAUUGGUCAAUGGACGGAAGUCUGAACCAGCCAUGCCGCGUGCAGGAAGACGGCUCUAUGAGUUGUAAACUGCUUUUGUACAAGGGUAAACCUGAAUACGUGUAUUCCGCUGAAAGUACUGUACGAAUAAGGAUCGGCUAACUCCGUGCCAGCAGCCGCGGUAAUACGGAGGAUCCAAGCGUUAUCCGGAUUUAUUGGGUUUAAAGGGUGCGUAGGCGGAUUGAUAAGUUAGAGGUGAAAUGGCCGAGCUUAACUCGGGAACUGCCUUUAAUACUGGUGAUCGAGAGAGUGGAUGCGGUAGGCGGAAUGUAUGGUGUAGCGGUGAAAUGCUUAGAGAUCAGACAGAACACCGAUUGCGAAGGCAGCUUACCAACCCAUAUCUGACGCUGAGGCACGAAAGCGUGGGGAGCAAACAGGAUUAGAUACCCGGGUAGUC